UCUUCUUUGGGAUGGUUUUAGUUGCUGCCUCCUGUACAAUGUUACGAACUUCCAUCCAUAGUUCUUCAGGCACUCUGUCUACCAGAUCUAAUCCCUUAAAUCUAUUCAUCACCUCCAUUGUAUAUUCAUAAGGCAUAUGAUUUAGGUCAUACCUGAAUGGUCUAGUGGUUUUCCCUACGUUCUUCAAUUUAAGCCUAAAUUUUGCAAUAAGAAGCUCAUGAUCUGAGCCACAGUCAGCUCCUGGUCUUGUUUUUACUGACUGUAUAGAGCUUCUCCAUCUUUGGCUGCAGAGUACAUAAUCAAUCUGAUUUCGGUAUUGACCAUCUAGUGAUGUCCAUGUGUAGAGUCGUCUCU